rnacentral:rRNA from 1 species
GACGAACGCUGGCGGCGUGCUUAACACAUGCAAGUCGAACGGAAAGGCCCUGCUUUUGUGGGGUGCUCGAGUGGCGAACGGGUGAGUAACACGUGAGUAACCUGCCCUUGACUUUGGGAUAACUUCAGGAAACUGGGGCUAAUACCGGAUAGGAGCUCCUGCUGCAUGGUGGGGGUUGGAAAGUUUCGGCGGUUGGGGAUGGACUCGCGGCUUAUCAGCUUGUUGGUGGGGUAGUGGCUUACCAAGGCUUUGACGGGUAGCCGGCCUGAGAGGGUGACCGGCCACAUUGGUACUGAGAUACGGCCCAGACUCCUACGGGAGGCAGCAGUGGGGAAUAUUGCACAAUGGGCGGAAGCCUGAUGCAGCAACGCCGCGUGCGUGAUGACGGCCUUCGAGUUGUAAACCGCUUUCGCCUGUGACGAAGCGUGAGUGACGGUAAUGGGUAAAUAAGCACCGGCUAACUACGUG